GACGGGGGGUGCAAGCGUUGUUCGGAAUCAUUGGGCGUAAAGCGUGUGCAGGUGGCUCUGUAAGUCAGAUGUGAAAGCCCCGGGCUUAACCCGGGAAGUGCAUUUGAAACUGCAGAGCUUGAGUAUGGAAGAGGGUCGUGGAAUUCCAGGUGUAGUGGUGAAAUACGUAGAUAUCUGGAGGAACACCGGUGGCGAAGGCGGCGACCUGGUCCAAUACCGACACUCAUACACGAAAGCGUGGGGAUCAAACAGG
rnacentral:rRNA from 1 species